rnacentral:rRNA from 1 species
CCCUUAGAUGUCCUGGGCCGCACGCGCGUUACACUGAUGCAUUCAACGAGCUUAUAACCUUGGCCGAGAGGCCUGGGCAAUCUUGUUAACGUGCAUCGUGAUAGGGAUAGAUUAUUGAAAUUAUUAAUCUUGAACGAGGAAUUCCUAGUAAACGCAGAUCAUCAAUCUGCAUUGAUUACGUCCCUGCCCUUUGUACACACCGCCCGUCGCACCUACCGAUUGGAUGGUCCGGUGAAGCCUCGGGAUUGUGGUUCUUGCCGCUUUAUUGUAGCGUGACCGCGAGAACUUGUCUAAACCUUAUUAUCUAGAGGAAGGUGAAGUCGUAACA